GACCUCAAAUCAGGUAGGACUACCCGCUGAACUUAAGCAUAUCAUAA
rnacentral:rRNA from 1 species